GAAAAUCACAUUAAGGGUAUAUGGUGGAUGCCUUGACUCAAGAAGCCGAUGAAGGACGUAGCAGCCUGCGAUAAGCCUCGGUUAGGUGGCAAGCAACCUUUGACCCGAGGAUUUCCGAAUGGGGAAACCUUCUNNNNNNNNNNNNNNNNNNNNNNNNNNNNNNNNNNGUAGCCGGAGGAAAAGAAAAUAAUAUAAAACACAAAUUUACACAGAUUUUAAACAAAUUGACACAAAUUAAUUUGUGUCAAUUUGUCCGCCGUUAGGCGGUAAUUUGUGUUAAUUUGUGUUUGCAUUCCCCGAGUAGUGGCGAGCGAAAGGGGAUCAGUCUAAACCUUUUAAACCGCGCCAUUUCAGAUGUCGGAUUUCGGAAGUCGGAAGUCGGAUUUCAAAUAUUAUCUCUGACAUCCGAAAUCUGAAUUCCGACAUCUGGUGGCAGAAGGAUCUUGGUCCAUAUGUUUAAGAGGCGUUGCAAGAUGGUUGUUGUCACUUCCUAGAAGAGUGAGGUAGAGGCAGAAAUAAAUCUUUCCUAGUUGAAGCGAGCUGGAAAGCUCCGCCAGAGCGGGUGAUAGCCCCGUAAGCGAAAGGAGGUUUAACUCUACGAUAACAUAUCUUAAGUACUACGGGACUCGUGAAAUCCCGUACGAAGCUGGGUCGACUAUGACCCAAGACUAAAUACUUCUUGAGAUCGAUAGUGAACAAGUACCGUGAGGGAAAGGUGAAAAGCAUCCCGGUAAGGGAGAUGAAAUAGUAUCUGAAACCAUAUACUUACAAAGAGUCGGAGCGGUAUUGCACAUUGAAUAUUUUGGGACCUCUCAGGUAGGAUUCUAUCCGUAGAUCUGAGAGGGGGCGACGAGAUUAGACACCUCGUCGCCCACCCACUUUUAAGUGUUUAAUGUGCAGUACCGUGACGGCGUGCCUAUUGAGGAAUGAGUCAACGAGUUUGCUGUAUGUGGCUCACAUAAUCCGCUUAAAGCGGAGCAUGUAAAGUGAAAGCGAGGGUUAAUAGCCCGUUGGGAAUACAAAUUAGCACAAAUUUAUUACAGAUUUUACACAAAUUUGUGUAAAAUCUGUUCCGCUGUUAGGCGGAAAAUAUGUGUUAAUUUGUGUUCCCAGGUCGCAUACACAAGACCCGAAGCCGGGUGAUCUAGCCAUGACCAGGUUGAACCCCGUCGAAAGACGGGGGGAGGACCGAACCCACGAGCCGUGCAAAACUCGGGAAAGAGUUGUGGCUAGCGGUGAAAUUCCAAUCGAACUCGGCAAUAGCUGGUUCUCCUCGAAAUAGCUUUUGGGCUAGCCUCGAGUGUUUUUUCCGGGGGGUAGAGCACUGAAUGAGGAUAGGUCGAUAAGAUACUGUCCUUAACCAAACUCCGAAUACCUGGAAAUUAAGCUCGGGAGUCAGACUAUGGGCGCUAAGGUUCAUCAGUCUAAAGGGAAACAGCCCCAAUCGCAAGCUAAGGUCCCUAAAUAUAUGCUAAGUGUCAAAGGUGGUGUCGCGACUGCGACAACUAGGAGGUUGGCUUAGAAGCAGCCAUCCUUUAAAGAAAGCGUAAUAGCUCACUAGUCAAGUUGCCGCGCGCCGAAAAUUUAUCGGGGCUAAGCAUAUUACCGAAGCUGCGGGUGUCGUGUCUCACUAACGUUCGACACUUCAAUUAAAAAUUAAAAAUUAUUAAUUCCAUAAUUCGUAAUUGCUAAUUCGUAAUUUUUAAUUGAAGGAGUGGCGAGCGAUAGCGAGACACGACGCGGUAGAGGAGCGUUCUAAAUUCGCUGAAGCCGAAACGUGAGUUUCGGUGGAGGAUUUAGAAGUGAGAAUGUUGACAUGAGUAGCAUAAAGGCAGGCGAAAACCCUGCCCACCAAAAAUUCAAGGUUUCCUGGGCAACGCAAAUCGACCCAGGGUUAGUCGGUCCUAAGACGAGGCCCGUGUAAUGCGGGCGUAGCCGAUGGUUGAGCUGGUUAAUAUUCCAGCACUGCCGUAACUUCUGAUGGGGUGACGCGGUUUAAAAGUUUAAGCGUUUCUAUGGUAUGAGCGUUAAUGGCGUUUGAAAUAGGCCCAGGUAAAUCCAGGCCAAUAUUUUCGGACGUUGUUAAAAGACAAAGCUUUUAGCGGAGUCAAUUUAAGCGGAUAUACCGUCCAGAAAAACCUCUAGGGUCCGGAUGUCAGACUUCGGAUUUCGGAUAUCGUAUUUCGGAAGUCAGAUUUAACAAUUUGAAUUCCGAUAUCUGAAUUCCGAUAUCCGAGAUCUGACAUCCGGAAAGGGUUAUGGCAACCGUACCGUAAACCGACGCAGGUGAAUAAGUCGAGUAGACUAAGGUGUACGAGAGAACCUUCGUUAAGGAACUCGGCAAAACAGCGGUCGUAAGUUCGCAAUAAGACUUUCCAGCCCCAGUUUUGUGUUAUAAUAUUAGCAUGUGGAUCGUCUAUUUAAUACAACAUACAACUCUGAAGCAGAUUUAUAUCGGCAUAACCGAUGAUCUGAAGAGAAGAUUGAAAGAACAUAAUGCUAAAGGCAAAAAAUUUACAACCCGUAAUCAAGGAGAAUGGGUUUUAAUUUAUGCUGAAGCUUAUCGUUCAAAAAAGGAUGCAGAGUUGAGAGAAAGAAAAUUAAAGAAUCAUGGAAGCGGAAAACAUGAAUUGAUCAAGCGGCUAGAAAAUAGCUUGCUUGAAAACACAAAACUGGGGCUGGACGCAGCUAAAGACUUCAAGUGACUGUUUAACAAAAACACAGCUCCCUGCUAACUCUAACGAGGAUGUAUAGGGGGUGAUGCCUGGCCAGUGUCCGAACGUUAAGGGGAGAGGUCAAUCCGCCGCAAGGCGGAGGCAGCUUUGAUCCGAAGCGCGGAUGAACGCCGGCGAUAACUAUAAGUUAACGAUUGUAGUUACAAAAUUUGGCUAUAUGCUGGAAACUCCGGAGUAAAAAAUGUACUCGUCCGCCAACUGGCGGAGCAGUAAAAAUCAUUUUUUGUAUCCCGCCAUUCGGGAUGCCGGACAAUCAGCAGGAAAGACUUGCAUGUGCGUUGAAGAUUGAGGUUUGAGUGCCGAAAAAUCCCUUGGGGCGACCUUUGGGUGCGACGAGAAAGACCAGAGUGUUGUCUACGUGUCUGUAAGGACAUGCACCUACAGCCGAGCAUAACAGGACAACCGCUUGUCGACGCUAUUCCUACCUCACGGUGGAGGGUUAAACUGCUCUUAACCCUCCCCUCAUUCUCCAGCGCACAUUCAAGAAUCCUCAGAGACUACACGCCAAACCCGCUCAGACGCAAGCAUUGAGCGGGAUGAUAUAGUCCGAUCUCAUGGGCAACCAUGAGCUUCAGAAAUAACUUAUCUGAAGGUUUCAAUGAGAAUAGUUAUUGAAAUUAACAUGAAUAAAUCGUCCUAAGGUAGCGAAAUCCCUUGUCGGGUAAGUUCCGACCUGCACGAAUGGCAUAACAACUUGAAGACUGUCUCAACGAAGGACUCGGUGAAAUUGCAAGAUGAGUAAAGAUGCUCAUUAAUCAUAGUUGGACGAAAAGACCCCGUGAAGCUUUACUAUAGCUUGAUAUUGAGUUAGGGGUGCGCUUGUUCAGAAUAGGUGGGAGCCCAGCUCCACUUUUAGGUGGCAAUUUAUAAUUAAAAAAUGUUUUCGCAUGACUGCUAAACAAGUUGUGCGUCAGUAAAUUUUGUCGCUUAAAAGUGGGGCUGGACGCCAGUGAGAUACCACCCUGGUGCGCUUUUAAUUCUUACCCUUGUCCGUUGAUCCGGACUGGGGACAGUAUCUGGUGGGUAGUUUGUCUGGGGCGGAUGCCUCCCAAAG
rfam:Candidatus Falkowbacteria bacterium RIFCSPLOWO2_02_FTLL_45_21 rifcsplowo2_02_scaffold_43406, whole genome shotgun sequence.